rnacentral:rRNA from 1 species
CUGCGGAGGGAUCAUUACAAGAACGCCCGGGCUACGGCCUGGUUAUUCAUAACCCUUUGUUGUCCGACUCUGUUGCCUCCGGGGCGACCCUGCCUUCGGGCGGGGGCUCCGGGUGGACACUUCAAACUCUUGCGUAACUUUGCAGUCUGAGUAAACUUAAUUAAUAAAUUAAAACUUUUAACAACGGAUCUCUUGGUUCUGGCAUCGAUGAAGAACGCAGCGAAAUGCGAUAAGUAAUGUGAAUUGCAGAAUUCAGUGAAUCAUCGAAUCUUUGAACGCACAUUGCGCCCCCUGGUAUUCCGGGGGGCAUGCCUGUUCGAGCGUCAUUUCACCACUCAAGCCUCGCUUGGUAUUGGGCAACGCGGUCCGCCGCGUGCCUCAAAUCGUCCGGCUGGGUCUUCUGUCCCCUAAGCGUUGUGGAAACUAUUCGCUAAAGGGUGUUCGGGAGGCUACGCCGUAAAACAACCCCAUUUCUAAGGUUGACCUCGGAUCAGGUAGGGAUACCCGCUGAACUUAAGCAUA